rnacentral:rRNA from 1 species
UACGAAGGGGGCUAGCGUUGUUCGGAAUCACUGGGCGUAAAGGGCGCGUAGGCGGCUUUAUAAGUCGGGGGUGAAAGCCUGUGGCUCAACCACAGAAUUGCCUUCGAUACUGUAGAGCUUGAGACCGGAAGAGGUAAGUGGAACUGCGAGUGUAGAGGUGAAAUUCGUAGAUAUUCGCAAGAACACCAGUGGCGAAGGCGGCUUACUAGUCCGGUUCUGACGCUGAGGCGCGAGAGCGUGGGGAGCAAACAGG